rnacentral:rRNA from 1 species
GGGAAACCGGAGCUAAUACCGGAUAAUAUUUUGAACCGCAUGGUUCAAAAGUGAAAGACGGUCUUGCUGUCACUUAUAGAUGGAUCCGCGCUGCAUUAGCUAGUUGGUAAGGUAACGGCUUACCAAGGCAACGAUGCAUAGCCGACCUGAGAGGGUGAUCGGCCACACUGGAACUGAGACACGGUCCAG